CCCCAGCGCGAGGACUGGCCGCAGACGCGCAGAGACGAUGCUGUGGUGGCUGCAUUUUGCUUUCAUCGCAGCAGCGUCCAAAGGGGCCCAGGCGCAGGUGCGACUGGUGGAGUCCGGGGGCGGCGCUGCGAACACAGGCGGCUCCAGGCGGCUCUCCUGCACCGGCUCCGGAUUCACUUUCAGCAGCUACGACAUGUUCUGGUACCGGCAGCGCCCCGGGGAAGGGCUGGAAUGGGUCUCACGCAUCACCAGCAGUGGCGGCAGCACAGAUUACCCUGACCCGGUGAAAGGGCGAUUCACCGUCACCAGGGACAACGCCAAGAACCAGCUGUAUCUGCAAAUGAGCCGCCUGGGACCCGAGGACACCGCCCGGUAUCACUGCGCUGAGAGAGACACAGUGAGGAGAAGCCAGGCUGAGCUCUGA